rnacentral:rRNA from 1 species
CUACGGGCGGCACCAGUGGGGAAUUUUGGACAAUGGGCGCAAGCCUGAUCCAGCCAUUCCGCGUGCAGGAUGAAGGCCUUCGGGUUGUAAACUGCCUUUGUACGGAACGAAACGGUUCUCUCUAAUACAGGGGGCUAAUGACGGUACCGUAAGAAUAAGCACCGGCUAACUACGUGCCAGCAGCCGCGGUAAUACGGAGGGUGCAAGCGUUAAUCGGAAUUACUGGGCGUAAAGCGUGCGCAGGCGGUUAUGUAAGACAGAGGUGAAAUCCCCGGGCUCAACCUGGGAACUGCCUUUGUGACUGCAUAGCUAGAGUACGGCAGAGGGGGAGGGAAUUCCGCGUGUAGCAGUGAAAUGCGUAGAUAUGCGGAGGAACACCGAUGGCGAAGGCAAUCCCCUGGGCCUGUACUGACGCUCAUGCACGAAAGCGUGGGGAGCAAACAGGAUUAGAUACCCCUGUAGUC